GAUGAACGCUGGCGGCGUGCCUAAUACAUGCAAGUCGAGCGAAUGGAUUAAGAGCUUGCUCUUAUGAAGUUAGCGGCGGACGGGUGAGUAACACGUGGGUAACCUGCCCAUAAGACUGGGAUAACCCCGGGAAACCGGUGCUAAUACCGGAUAACAUUUUGAACCGCAUGGUUCGAAAUUGAAAGGCGGCUUCGGCUGUCACUGAUGAAUGGACCCGCGUCGCAUUAGCUAGUUGGUGAGGUAACGGCGCACCAAGGCAACGAUGCGUAGCCGACCUGGGAGGGUGAUCGGCCACACUGGGACUGAGACACGGCCCAGACUCCUACGGGAGGCAGCAGUAGGGAAUCUUCCGCAAUGGACGAAAGUCUGACGGAGCAACGCCGCGUGAGUGAUGAAGGCUUUCGGGUCGUAAAACUCUGUUGUUAGGGAAGAACAAGUGCUAGUUGAAUAAGCUGGCACCUUGACGGUACCUAGCCAGAAAGCCACGGCUAACUACGUGCCAGCAGCCGCGGUAA
rnacentral:rRNA from 1 species